GGUUAAGCGACUAAGCGUACACGGUGGAUGCCUAGGCAAUCAGAGGCGAUGAAGGACGUGCUAAUCUGCGAUAAGCGUCGGUAAGGUGAUAUGAACCGUGAUAACCGACGAUUUCCGAAUGGGGAAACCCAGUGCAAUUCGUUGCACUAUCGUUUGAUGAAUACAUAGUCAAACGAAGCGAACCGGGGGAACUGAAACAUCUCAGUACCCCGAGGAAAAGAAAUCAACCGAGAUUCCCCUAGUAGCGGCGAGCGAACGGGGAGCAGCCCAGAGUCUUAAUCAGCAUUAGCAUCAGGAGAACGGUCUGGAAAGGCCGGCAGUAAAGGGUGAUAGCCCCGUAUCCGAAGGUGUUAGUGUUGUGAACUCGACGAGUAGGGCGGGACACGUGUUAUCCUGUCUGAAUAUGGGGGGACCAUCCUCCAAGGCUAAAUACUCCUGAUUGACCGAUAGUGAACCAGUACCGUGAGGGAAAGGCGAAAAGAACCCCGGCGAGGGGAGUGAAAUAGAACCUGAAACCGUGUACGUACAAGCAGUGGGAGCCCCACCACCAAAGCAUUUUCUGGUGUUGAGGACAACUUUGAAGUGACAUUCAACACGCGUUGGCGGAGCGUUUUUUGCGACGCCCAACACACAAAACAAGCAGUGAAUGUGCUUUGGGGUGGGGUGACUGCGUACCUUUUGUAUAAUGGGUCAGCGACUUAUAUUCUGUAGCAAGGUUAACCGUAUAGGGGAGCCGUAGGGAAACCGAGUCUUAACUGGGCGAAUGAGUUGCAGGGUAUAGACCCGAAACCCGGUGAUCUAGCCAUGGGCAGGUUGAAGGUUGGGUAACACUAACUGGAGGACCGAACCGACUAAUGUUGAAAAAUUAGCGGAUGACUUGUGGCUGGGGGUGAAAGGCCAAUCAAACCGGGAGAUAGCUGGUUCUCCCCGAAAGCUAUUUAGGUAGCGCCUCGUGAACUCAUCUUCGGGGGUAGAGCACUGUUUCGACUAGGGGGUCAUCCCGACUUACCAACUCGAUGCAAACUACGAAUACCGAAGAAUGUUAUCACGGGAGACACACGGCGGGUGCUAACGUUCGUCGUGAAGAGGGAAACAACCCAGACCGCCAGCUAAGGUCCCAAAGUCAUAGUUAAGUGGGAAACGAAGUGGGAAGGCUCAGACAGCCAGGAUGUUGGCUUAGAAGCAGCCAUCAUUUAAAGAAAGCGUAAUAGCUCACUGGUCGAGUCGGCCUGCGCGGAAGAUGUAACGGGGCUAAACUAUGCACCGAAGCUGCGGCAGCGAUAUGUAAAUAUUGUUGGGUAGGGGAGCGUUCUGUAAGCCUGUGAAGGUGUGCUGUGAGGCAUGCUGGAGGUAUCAGAAGUGCGAAUGCUGACAUAAGUAACGAUAAUGCGGGUGAAAAACCCGCACGCCGGAAGACCAAGGGUUCCUGUCCAACGUUAAUCGGGGCAGGGUGAGUCGACCCCUAAGGCGAGGCAGAAAUGCGUAGUCGAUGGGAAACGGGUUAAUAUUCCCGUACUGGUGAUAAUUGCGAUGGGGGGACGGAGAAGGCUAGGCUAUCCGGGCGACGGUUGUCCCGGUUUAAGGAUGUAGGCAGGUGAAUUAGGCAAAUCCGGUUCACUAUAUGCUGAGGUCCGACGACGAGUCACUACGGUGAUGAAGUAGCUCAUGCCCCGCUUCCAGGAAAAGCCUCUAAGCUCUAGAUUAUCAUUAAUCGUACCCCAAACCGACACAGGUGGUCAGGUAGAGAAUACUCAGGCGCUUGAGAGAACUCGGGUGAAGGAACUAGGCAAAAUGGUGCCGUAACUUCGGGAGAAGGCACGCUGGCGCUAGGUGAAGUCCCUCGCGGAUGGAGCUGAAGCCAGUCGCAGAUACCAGCUGGCUGCAACUGUUUAUUAAAAACACAGCACUGUGCAAACACGAAAGUGGACGUAUACGGUGUGACGCCUGCCCGGUGCUGGAAGGUUAAUUGAUGGGGUUAUCCGUAAGGAGAAGCUCUUGAUCGAAGCCCCAGUAAACGGCGGCCGUAACUAUAACGGUCCUAAGGUAGCGAAAUUCCUUGUCGGGUAAGUUCCGACCUGCACGAAUGGCGUAAUGAUGGCCAGGCUGUCUCCACCCGAGACUCAGUGAAAUUGAACUCGCUGUGAAGAUGCAGUGUACCCGCGGCAAGACGGAAAGACCCCGUGAACCUUUACUAUAGCUUGACACUGAACAUUGAGCCUUGAUGUGUAGGAUAGGUGGGAGGCUUUGAAGUGUGGACGCCAGUCUGCAUGGAGCCAACCUUGAAAUACCACCCUUUAAUGUUUGAUGUUCUAACGUAGCCCCGUUAUCCGGGGUGCGGACAGUGUCUGGUGGGUAGUUUGACUGGGGCGGUCUCCUCCCAAAGAGUAACGGAGGAGCACGAAGGUUGGCUAAGCAUGGUCGGACAUCAUGCGGUUAGUGCAAAGGCAUAAGCCAGCUUGACUGCGAGAGUGACGGCUCGAGCAGGUACGAAAGUAGGUCUUAGUGAUCCGGUGGUUCUGAAUGGAAGGGCCAUCGCUCAACGGAUAAAAGGUACUCCGGGGAUAACAGGCUGAUACCGCCCAAGAGUUCAUAUCGACGGCGGUGUUUGGCACCUCGAUGUCGGCUCAUCACAUCCUGGGGCUGAAGUAGGUCCCAAGGGUACGGCUGUUCGCCGUUUAAAGUGGUACGCGAGCUGGGUUUAGAACGUCGUGAGACAGUUCGGUCCCUAUCUGCCGUGGGCGUUGGAAGAUUGAAAGGGGCUGCUCCUAGUACGAGAGGACCGGAGUGGACGCACCACUGGUGUUCGGGUUGUCAUGCCAAUGGCAUUGCCCGGUAGCUAAGUGCGGAAGAGAUAACCGCUGAAAGCAUCUAAGCGGGAAACUUGCCUUGAGAUGAGUCUUCCCUGACCCUUUAAGGGUCCUAAAGGAACGUUUAAGACUAAGACGUUGAUAGGUUGGGUGUGUAAGCGUAGCGAUACGUUGAGCUAACCAAUACUAAUGAACCGUGAGGCUUAACCUG
rnacentral:rRNA from 1 species